CCUACGGGAGGCUGCAGUGGGGAAUAUUGGACAAUGGGGGGAACCCUGAUCCAGCCAUGCCGCGUGUGUGAAGAAGGCCCUCGGGUUGUAAAGCACUUUCAGUGAGGAAGAACGCCUGGUGGUUAAUACCCAUCAGGAAAGACAUCACUCACAGAAGAAGCACCGGCUAACUCCGUGCCAGCAGCCGCGGUAAUACGGAGGGUGCGAGCGUUAAUCGGAAUUACUGGGCGUAAAGCGCGCGUAGGUGGCUUGAUAAGCCGGUUGUGAAAGCCCCGGGCUCAACCUGGGAACGGCAUCCGGAGCUGUCAAGCUAGAGUGCAGGAGAGGAAGGUAGAAUUCCCGGUGUAGCGGUGAAAUGCGUAGAGAUCGGGAGGAAUACCAGUGGCGAAGGCGGCCUUCUGGACUGACACUGACACUGAGGUGCGAAAGCGUGGGUAGCAAACAGGAUUAGCUACCAUAGUAGUC
rnacentral:rRNA from 1 species